rnacentral:rRNA from 1 species
UACGUAGGGGGCUAGCGUUGUCCGGAAUCAUUGGGCGUAAAGCGCGCGUAGGCGGCCCGGUAAGUCCGCUGUGAAAGUCAAAGGCUCAACCUUUGAAUGUCAGCGGAUACUGCCGGGCUAGAGUCCGGAAGAGGCGAGUGGAAUUCCUGGUGUAGCGGUGAAAUGCGCAGAUAUCAGGAAGAACACCCGUGGCGAAGGCAGGUCUCUGGGCCACUACUGACGCUGAGAAGCGAAAGCAUGGGGAGCGAACAGG